UGGGAUGUAGUCUAGUGGUAGGACAGCAGACUUUGACUCUGCCCGGGCAAGUUCGAUUCUUGCCAUCCCAGCCA
rnacentral:tRNA from 1 species